rnacentral:rRNA from 1 species
AUUCCCUAGUAGCGGCGAGCGAAGCGGGAAGAGCUCAAAUUUAUAAUCUGGCACCUUCGGUGUCCGAGUUGUAAUCUCUAGAAGUGUUUUCCGCGUUGGACCGCACACAAGUCUGUUGGAAUACAGCGGCAUAGUGGUGAAACCCCCGUAUAUGGUGCGGACGCCCAGCGCUUUGUGAUACACUUUCAAUGAGUCGAGUUGUUUGGGAAUGCAGCUCAAAUUGGGUGGUAAAUUCCAUCUAAAGCUAAAUAUUGGCGAGAGACCGAUAGCGAACAAGUACCGUGAGGGAAAGAUGAAAAGCACUUUGGAAAGAGAGUUAACAGUACGUGAAAUUGUUGGAAGGGAAACGCUUGAAGUCAGACUUGCUUGCCGGAGCUUGCUUCGGUUUGCAGGCCAGCAUCAGUUUUCCGGGGUGGAUAAUGACGGUUUGAAGGUAGCAGUCUCGGCUGUGUUAUAGCUUUCCGUUGGAUACAUCCUGGGGGACUGAGGAACGCAGCGUGCUUUUUGCGAAAGACUCGUCUUUUUCACGCUUAGGAUGCUGGUGGAAUGGCUUUAAACGACCCGUCUUGAAACACGGACCC